UACGAAGGGUGCAAGCGUUAAUCGGAAUUACUGGGCGUAAAGCGCGCGUAGGUGGUUCAGUAAGUUGGAAGUGAAAUCCCCGGGCUCAACCUGGGAACUGCUUUCAAAACUGCUGAGCUAGAGUACGGUAGAGGGUGGUGGAAUUUCCUGUGUAGCGGUGAAAUGCGUAGAUAUAGGAAGGAACACCAGUGGCGAAGGCGACCACCUGUACUGAUACUGACACUGAGGUGCGAAAGCGUGGGGAGCAAACAGG
rnacentral:rRNA from 1 species